GAUGAAGAACGCAGCGAAAUGCGAUAAGUAAUGUGAAUUGCAGAAUUCAGUGAAUCAUCGAAUCUUUGAACGCACAUUGCGCCCCCUGGUAUUCCGGGGGGCAUGCCUGUUCGAGCGUCAUUUCACCACUCAAGCCUCGCUUGGUAUUGGGCAACGCGGUCCGCCGCGUGCCUCAAAUCGACCGGCUGGGUCUUCUGUCCCCUAAGCGUUGUGGAAACUUUCGCUAAAGGGUGUUCGGGAGGCUACGCCGUAAAACAACCCCAUUUCUAAGGUUGACCUCGGAUCAGGUAGGGAUACCCGCUGAACUUAAUCAUAUCAAUAAGCGGAGGA
rnacentral:misc_RNA from 1 species